UUAGCGGCGGACGGGUGAGUAACACGUGGGCAACCUGCCUCGAAGUGGGGGAUAACACCGAGAAAUCGGUGCUAAUACCGCAUAACAUACAGACACCACCUGGUGACUGUAUCAAAGGAGAAAUCCGCUUUGAGAUGGGCCCGCGGCUGAUUAGCUAGUUGGUGAGGUAAUGGCUCACCAAGGCGACGAUCAGUAGCCGACCUGAGAGGGUGACCGGCCACACUGGAACUGAGACACGGUCCAGACUCCUACGGGAGGCAGCAGUGGGGAAUAUUGCGCAAUGGGGGAAACCCUGACGCAGCAACGCCGCGUGGAGGAAGAAGGUCUUCGGAUUGUAAACUCCUGUCUUCUGGGACGAUAAUGACGGUACCAGAGGAGGAAGCCACGGCUAACUACGUGCCAGCAGCCGCGGUAAUACGUAGGUGGCGAGCGUUGUCCGGAAUUACUGGGCGUAAAGGGCGCGUAGGCGGCUCUUUAAGUCAGAUGUGAAAACCCAGGGCUUAACCUUGGGAGUGCAUUUGAAACUGAAGGGCUCGAGUGCAGGAGAGGUAAGUGGAAUUCCUAGUGUAGCGGUGAAAUGCGUAGAUAUUAGGAGGAACACCAGUGGCGAAGGCGACUUACUGGACUGUAACUGACGCUGAGGCGCGAAAGCGUGGGGAGCAAACAGGAUUAGAUACCCUGGUAGUCCACGCUGUAAACGAUGGAUACUAGGUGUGGGAGGUAUCGACCCCUUCCGUGCCGCAGUAAACGCAAUAAGUUCCCGCCUGGGAG
rnacentral:rRNA from 1 species